CCCUUAGAUGUCCUGGGCAGCACGCGUGCUACAAUGAUGCAUUCAACGAGUCUUGCCUUAACCGAAAGGUUCGGGUAAACUUUUGAAAUUGCAUCUUGUCGGGGCUUGAUCAUUGUAAUUUUUGAUCACAAACAAGGAAUUCCUUGUAAAUGUGAGUCAUCGACUUGCAUUGAAUACGUCCCUGCCCUUUGUACACACCGCCCGUCGCUUCUACCGAUUGAAUGAUCCGAUGAAUACCAUGGAUUGAGAGUACGAAUAGGUUCGCUUAUUUCUGCUGCUCGAGAAGUGGAGUAAAUCUUAUCAUUUAGAGGAAGGAGAAGUCGUAACA
rnacentral:rRNA from 1 species